GUUUAUACUUUUUUUAGAAAAAAA
rnacentral:tRNA from 1 species